rnacentral:rRNA from 1 species
AAUAGAUACCCGGGUAGUCCACGCCGUAAACGAUGUCGACUUGGAGGUUGUUCCCUUGAGGAGUGGCUUCCGGAGCUAACGCGUUAAGUCGACCGCCUGGGGAGUACGGCCGCAAGGUUAAAACUCAAAUGAAUUGACGGGGGCCCGCACAAGCGGUGGAGCAUGUGGUUUAAUUCGAUGCAACGCGAAGAACCUUACCUGGUCUUGACAUCCACAGAAUUUUGCAGAGAUGCGAAAGUGCCUUCGGGAACUGUGAGACAGGUGCUGCAUGGCUGUCGUCAGCUCGUGUUGUGAAUGUUGGGUUAAGUCCCGCAACGAGCGCAACCCUUAUCCUUUGUUGCCAGCGGUUAGGCCGGGAACUCAAAGGAGACUGCCAGUGAUAAACUGGAGGAAGGUGGGGAUGACGUCAAGUCAUCAUGGCCCUUACGACCAGGGCUACACACGUGCUACAAUGGCAUAUACAAAGAGAAGCGACCUCGCGAGAGCAAGCGGACCUCAUAAAGUAUGUCGUAGUCCGGAUUGGAGUCUG